rnacentral:rRNA from 1 species
AGACCCAUGGCAGACGAGGUAGGAACACGUAGGUACAUACCCCAAAGUCACGGAUAAUCUGGAGAAAUCCAGGAUAAUACGUGAUAGUCUCGAAAGAGUAAAGAUUUAUCGCUUUGGGAAUGGCCUGCGUUCUAUCAGCUUGAUGGUAAGGUAACGGCUUACCAUGGCUAUGACGGAUAGGGGAGGUGAGAGCCUGACCCCCACCGAUGGAACUGCGACACGGUCCAU